rnacentral:rRNA from 1 species
AGCGAACGCUGGCGGCAGGCUUAACACAUGCAAGUCGAGCGGGCACUUCGGUGUCAGCGGCAGACGGGUGAGUAACACGUGGGAACGUACCCUUUGGUUCGGACUAACGCUGGGAAACUAGCGCUAAUACCGGAUACGCCCUUUUGGGGAAAGGCUUGCUGCCGAAGGAUCGGCCCGCGUCUGAUUAGCUAGUUGGUGGGGUAAUGGCCUACCAAGGCGACGAUCAGUAGCUGGUCUGAGAGGAUGAUCAGCCACACUGGGACUGAGACACGGCCCAGACUCCUACGGGAGGCAGCAGUGGGGAAUAUUGGACAAUGGGCGCAAGCAUGAUCCAGCCAGGACGCGUGAGUGAUGAAGGCAUUAGGGUUGUAAAGCUCUUUUGUCCGGGACGAUAAUGACGGUACCGGAAGAAUAAGCCCCGGCUAACUUCGUG